rnacentral:lncRNA from 1 species
GUCUGGGCUCCCAGGGGGCAGCAUGGGGCGUUGGGGCAGGGCGUGUGGCCUGGUCCCCUCGGGCCUGGAGAGCUGUUGGCUCCUCUGUCUGCCCUGUCCCAGGAGCCCUGGGCUCAGGAGUGGCUUCUCUGUGGGUGGAGGUGAGGGCGGGGCUGAGACGGAACCGGAGGUGGUGACUUCCUGUCUGGCAGUUUCCUCCGACUGGGAAGGAAGCAGGAAGACACUCGUGCACCGCUGAGCGGAGCUGCGGGGAAGGGGGUCUGGGCGGGAGGUGCUCCCUGCAGGGGCGCUUUGGAGGAGCCAUCCCUCUCGGAGUCUGGGGUCGGCCCCGCUGCGUGCUAAACAGGGACAUUCGUCCUGCUCAUGACCGGCCCGUGCUCGGGAAGGACCCUCAGGCCCCUGGAGGAGGCCCUGCGACCAUGUCCAAGUCGAGGCACCUUCCGGACCCGAGUCCUCUGCCCGCUUUCCCCUCUCGGCCACCCUGUCUCCGUCCUGACUCCAGGCCCGUUGGCCCGUGUGAAGCAGGGCCCGUGGGCCCCGCAGGUGGCGGGCUGCGACCUGGGCGCCCUGCCUCUCUGUGACCCGGGCGGUGGACACAGCAGACAGGGUACGUUUGUAAAUCUCUUCACGACGUGUUGGCAGAGCACCAGCUGUCAGCAUCCCUGCGGCCAAGUGGUGCCUUUUCAUUUCAGGAAGAAUCCAUGUGCGGGGGGACAGCGGGGGGACCCAGGGGGACCCACCUUCCUGUGACAUCCGGCAGGUGGAGGCCAGGACCAGGGUCCCACUGCCUGCACUGCCAUGCUGACUGCAGUUCCAGCAGGGCCCCUGGUGCCUGGGCCACCGCUGCCCUCCCCCCGGGCUAUGACCUGCCUGUGGCUACGCACAUGAGCUCCACGAGGCCCUCUCCUCCUACGGGCGGGCCCUUGGCUCGGUGCUGGGGACUGUGCGCAGGGCCGAGUGCCUCUGGGAAGUGACUCGUUCUCUCUGAGCCUCAUUUCUAAACUCAGG